GCCUGAUGCAGCGACGCCGCGUGAGGGAUGAAGGCCUUCGGGUUGUAAACCUCUUUCAGCAGGGACGAAGCGAAAGUGACGGUACCUGCAGAAGAAGCACCGGCUAACUACGUGCCAGCAGCCGCGGUAAUACGUAGGGUGCGAGCGUUGUCCGGAAUUACUGGGCGUAAAGAGUUCGUAGGCGGUUUGUCACGUCGUCUGUGAAAACCCAUCGCUCAACGAUGGGCCUGCAGGCGAUACGGGCAGACUUGAGUACUGCAGGGGAGACUGGAAUUCCUGGUGUAGCGGUGAAAUGCGCAGAUAUCAGGAGGAACACCGGUGGCGAAGGCGGGUCUCUGGGCAGUAACUGACGCUGAGGAACGAAAGCGUGGGUAGCAAACAGGAUUAGAUACCCUGGUAGUCCACGCCGUAAACGGUGGGCGCUAGGUGUGGGUUCCUUCCACGGGAUCUGUGCCGUAGCUAACGCAUUAAGCGCCCCGCCUGGGGAGUACGGCCGCAAGGCUAAAACUCAAAGGAAUUGACGGGGGCCCGCACAAGCGGCGGAGCAUGUGGAUUAAUUCGAUGCAACGCGAAGAACCUUACCUGGGUUUGACAUAUACUGGAAAGCUGCAGAGAUGUAGCCCCCCUUGUGGCCGG
rnacentral:rRNA from 1 species